GAUGAACGCUGGCGGCGUGCCUAAUACAUGCAAGUCGAGCGAACAGACGAGGAGCUUGCUCCUCUGACGUUAGCGGCGGACGGGUGAGUAACACGUGGAUAACCUACCUAUAAGACUGGGAUAACUUCGGGAAACCGGAGCUAAUACCGGAUAAUAUAUUGAACCGCAUGGUUCAAUAGUGAAAUACGGUUUUGCUGUCACUUAUAGAUGGAUCCGCGCCGCAUUAGCUAGUUGGUAAGGUAACGGCUUACCAAGGCAACGAUGCGUAGCCGACCUGAGAGGGUGAUCGGCACCACAGGAACUGAGCCCCGGUACAGACACUGAGGGGAGGCACCAGUAGGGAAUCUACGGCACUGGGCGAAAGUUUGAAGGAGCAACGCCGGGCGGGUGAGGAAGGUCUUCGGAUCGUAAAACGCUGUUAUUAGGAAGAACCAAUGUGUAAGUAAAUAUGCACGUCUUGACGGUACCUAAUAAGAAAGCCACGGCUAACUACGUG
rnacentral:rRNA from 1 species